rnacentral:rRNA from 1 species
AGUCGUACGAGAAAGCUCGGCUUCGGUUGGGCGAGUAAAGUGGCGAACGGGUGAGUAACACGUGGAUAAUCUGCCCUUAAGUCUGGGAUAAUCCUUCGAAAGGGGGUCUAAUACCGGAUGAUAUCUCCGGGCGGCAUCGUCUGGAGAUCAAAGGUGGGGCAACCUGCCGCUUAAGGAUGAGUCCGCGGUCCAUUAGCUUGUUGGUAAGGUAACGGCUUACCAAGGCGACGAUGGAUAGCCGGCCUGAGAGGGUGAUCGGCCACACUGGGACUGAGAUACGGCCCAGACUCCUACGGGAGGCAGCAGUAGGGAAUAUUGCGCAAUGGACGAAAGUCUGACGCAGCAACGCCGCGUGGGUGAUGAAGCAUCUUGGUGUGUAAAACCCUGUUAGUGGGGAAGAAACGCACGGGGAAUCACUGCCCUGUGCCUGACGGUACCCACAAAGAAAGCACCGGCUAACUCCGUGCCAGCAGCCGCGGUAAUAUGGGGGGUGCAAGCGUUGUUCGGAUUUACUGGGCGUAAAGGGCGCGUAGGCGGACCAUCAAGUCGGAUGUGAAAACUGUCGGCUCAACUGACAGCCUGCACUCGAUACUGGUGGUCUUGAGUACAG